AUGGCCAGCUCGACGAACAAGGCUCCGGCGAGCGGUGGCGCCCGGCGCGUGCUGUUGUUCCCGCUGCCGUUCCAGGGCCACAUCAACCCGAUGCUGCAGCUCGCCGCCGUCCUGCACGCCCGGGGCCUCCGUGUCACGGUCUUCCACUCCGCCUUCAACGCCCCGGACCCCGAGCGCCGCCCCGCGGGCUACCGCUUCGUCACCGUCGGCGCCUCAGUACCGAUCGCGGACCUCGUCCCCACCGGCAGCCACGGCAACUUCGCCGAGGCGUUGCUUCGCAUCAACGAGCGUCUCGAGGCUCCUUUCGAGGACAGCCUCCGCGAGUUGCUCCUCGAGGAGGAGGGAGCGCCGGCAUGCCUGGUGGUAGACUCCAACCUCCGGGGGAUGCAGGUGGUUGCCCACCGUCUCGGCGUGCCGACGCUGGUGCUGCGCACGGGUGCCGCCGCCUGCCUCUUGGCUUACAUGGCCUUCCCGGCGCUCUGCGAUAAGGGCGUCCUCCCGCCACAAGAUCAUUUGCAACUGAAUAUGCAACUGGAUGGUCUCCACCCGCUCCAACAGCAAGACAUGGUCUUCUCAGCCACAAUUCCACAUGAAACGAUGUCCACCUUAAUAGAACGCAUUGUGGAAUCAUCAAUGUGUUCUUCAGGUGUCAUCAUUAACACCUUUAGCGAGCUGGAAGAUGCUGAGCUACAAAAGAUCAUCGAUGGCAUGGGCGUCCCGGUGUAUGCAAUCGGUCCACUUCACAAGAUAUCUUUAGGUGCCCAGAGCAGCCUGAUGGCUCAAGAUAGAACAUGUUUGGAUUGGUUGGACAAGCAAGAAGUAGGAUCUGUUCUGUUCGUGAGCUUCGGGAGCUUGGCAUCCAUGGAUCAGGAAGAGCUAGUGGAGACUGCAUGGGGCUUGGCCAACAGUCACAUGCCAUUUCUUUGGGUGAUCCGGCCUGACUCGGUUCAAGGUUUAGGGAAUAUAGGCCUACCCGUCGGCUUUGAGGAAGAGGCACGAGGUAGGGGAAUGGUGGUGAGCUGGGCCCCACAACAAGAAGUUCUUGGGCACCAGGCGGUUGGUGGAUUUUGGACCCAUAAUGGCUGGAACUCAACGUUGGAGAGCAUAAGUGAGGGUGUUCCAAUGAUAUGUAGACCACAUUUCGGCGACCAGAUGAUAAAUUCCAGGUAUGUCCAGGAGGUGUGGAAGAUAGGGUUUGUGUUAGAGGGCAAGAUGGACAGGGACAAUAUCCAGAGGAGUGUUAAAAAGUUGUUUUGCCACGAAGAAGGUGGAGAGAUGAGGCGAAGGGCAAAUAAUCUCAAAGACAAAGCAACCCAGUGCAUUCAGAAAGGAGGCUCUUCACAAAUAGGAAUUGAUUUGUUGGUGAAUUGCAUAAUGGCAUUACCUUCUUCCAUUUAG
rnacentral:rRNA from 1 species